rnacentral:rRNA from 1 species
UCGGGAAUUUUGGGCAAUGGGGGAAACCCUGACCCAGCAACGCCGCGUGAAGGAUGAAGUAUUUCGGUAUGUAAACUUCGAAAGAAUAGGAAGAAUAAAUGACGGUACUAUUUUAUAAGGUCCGGCUAACUACGUGCCAGCAGCCGCGGUAAUACGUAGGGACCAAGCGUUGUUCGGAUUUACUGGGCGUAAAGGGCGCGUAGGCGGCAUGACAAGUCACUUGUGAAAUCUCUGGGCUUAACCCAGAACGGCCAAGUGAUACUGUCGCGCUAGAGUGCAGAAGGGGCAAUCGGAAUUCCAGGUGUAGCAGUGAAAUGCGUAGAUAUCAAGAGGAACACCUGAGGUGAAGACGGGUUGCUGGGCUGACACUGACGCUGAGGCGCGAAAGCUAGGGGAGCAAACGGGAUUAGAUACCCAAGUAGUCCCUGAGCGGGCUGGCAAGGCGCAU